AGCCGAUUAGACUGGUGCGACCAGGGAUCCGACUGUUAAUAAACAAGCAUCGCGAAGCCCGCGGCGGGUGUUGACGCGAUGUGAUUCUGCCCAGUGCUCUGAAUGUCAAAGUGAAGAAUU
rnacentral:miRNA from 1 species